rnacentral:rRNA from 1 species
GACGAACGCUGGCGGCGUGCUUAACACAUGCAAGUCGAGCGGUAAGGCCCUUUCGGGGGUACACGAGCGGCGAACGGGUGAGUAACACGUGGGUGACCUGCCCUUAGCUCUGGGAUAAGCCUGGGAAACUGGGUCUAAUACCGGAUAUGACUCCAUGACGCAUGUUGUGGGGUGGAAAGCCUUGUGCGGCUAGGGAUGGGCCCGCGGCCUAUCAGCUUGUUGGUGGGGUGAUGGCCUACCAAGGCGACGACGGGUAGCCGGCCUCGAGAGGGCGACCGGCCACACUGGGACUGAGACACGGCCCAGACUCC